AGGCAUUUCACCUUCGGGGGCUGCAAAUAUAAUAGAGAUUAACAUAAAUUAUCAGAUUUAAAGUACAUAAUUAUUGAAGUACGCUUUGGUUCAUGCUAGGGUUCAUGUCUUUGCAAUGGAAGCGAAACCAUAUGAUUCAAGGACUGUCAGGCGCAAACCAACAUGUUAUGAGAACAAAACAUUAUUUCUAUUAGCCAUCAAUUUAAGAACAAGUAAAGUAGGUACUUACGAAGCCGAGUUUCGUCAGGUUCCCUGUUACCAAAUCAUUUGCAAAUCUCAAGGAAAAUAACACAAACUCAGAUCAAACAUAACAGACGAAACGCGUAAAAGUAGCUGCAUCACUUAGCUACAUUUACAUGCGACAUGCGGCAUUUAGAAAUUACCUAUCCAAGCUAUAGCGAAGGCAGUCGAAGUUCGUGAUCGCUAGCGACCUCGAUCAUAAAGAUCAUCAGUUUGCAAGCAGAAUUAUCGUGCCAUUGUCAGGAACACGCAUCGUGAACAAGAUAAACUGGAUUUACUUGGUGUUGGUGAACCCACGACUUGAAAACUGCAGCUCUGGCAGUUAUGAAGUCGGUAUUUAUAACAAGGAGCUCUCGAAAAAUAUCAGAAGGAAAAAGGUCAUCCAAGCAAACGUCGGACCCCAACGCAUUACCGAUCCCGACCACAACAAGGCGUGACGGCGUACGUUCCGUACCUGCCAAGCUGGAAGAUCAAGGUAAACGAGGCCAAAACUCUUUCGGCACAGACUGUCGCCAAAGCUGCUCCCACCGCCUGACUGCUACGUGCGGGUCAACGGCUUCAUAGUACCCUGGAUAGAACAGGUAAUCUACCUUGGGGUGAUCUUCGACACCAAGCUGCUGUAUUGGGCCAACACGGACUCACUCAAGCGCAGAUGUUCCGAAUUGGUGAAAGCGAGAGGUUCUCGAAUCUUAAAUAACGGCAAAGAUGAAUAACUUGAAAAACAAACAUGUAAAAUGACACAAAUUACACAAUAAAAUCAAAAUUAAACAGUAAACUGGUAAACCUAAGCCCGCCGCAAUCUUGUUCACGUUUGUCACCGACUAAAUAGAAAUGCUUCGGAAGGUGUCGGCGGUUAUGAAGUCGGUAAUCGAAGAGGUUUAGCAGAGUGCACUGCACACCUUUGAACAUUCUCCACUGCCAGACGGUUGUUGUUGUAAGUAAUUUGAUUUGUAGUUUAUUAAAAACGUCGGCCUUUUACAACAAUACUUUGUAUGAAAUUAAGGUGGUAUGUACAAUCUUUGAACGUUUAGUCUUCGAUAAGUUCAUUCAACAUGGCAGAGUCGUCUUUGGAGCUAGCUCUCAAGUUUCUCCGCGUUUUCUGACUGUGCUUCCAGUAUUCAUGAGCCGAGUGAGUGGACGGAGCAUAGGGCCGAGGAUGGAAGGCCGUAUUAUUGGAACGAGGCCGGACGGGUUCCAACCCGUUGUCAAGGUUCGACGUAGGAAGACGAAGAGCGAGGUUAUUGUCGAGAUGAAGGCCAGAACGUGAAGCAACUGCACAGCAUCCAGCAUAUCGGCCGUGAAAAGAAUCAGCCGCCGCUGGUGGUGAAAAACACGAGCUUCACCUGCCUUGCGAAGGUGAUGUAGGUAUAUAUAUAGUAGUCAAUAUAAUCAAAAUCAAGCAACACUCAAAAUAAUGCUACGGCAACCUUGGAUGUGGAAAAAGCGUUUGUCAUAUGGUAGACCUACAUCUCGAGUUCCCGAUGCUGUCAAUAAAAGAAUCGAUUUAAACCGUCUGGAAUCGAAGUUGAAGGUCCUAAAGUCGAGGGUGACUUGAUAAACGCUCGUGCGGUACCGCUGUCACAUCGAGAACAGGAUCUACCUGAGCCGGUGAGAUUGUCGACUAAACCUGGCAGAUA